rnacentral:rRNA from 1 species
ACCCGGUCCCAUUCCGAACCCGGUA